rnacentral:rRNA from 1 species
GGUACUGGCGGGCAAGCAGGCGGGGGAAGGCGGUGGUGGCAGCCGUUGGUCGGAAGUGCUGGGCGUAAAGGGCGGGCAGGCGGUCAGGUAAGUGAGAUGUGGAAUGCCCCGGCUCACCCGGGGACCGGCAUCUCAUACUGCUUGGCUGGAGUACGGGAGAGGAUGUGGGAAUUCCUGGUGUAGCGGUGAAAUGCGUAGAUAUCAGGAGGAACACCGGUGGCGAAGGCGCACAUCUGGCCCGAUACUGACGCUGAGGCGCGAAAGCUAGGGGAGCAAACGGGAUUAGAUACCCUUGUAGUC